AGUGAACGCUGGCGGUAGGCCUAACACAUGCAAGUCGAACGGCAGCACAGUAAGAGCUUGCUCUUACGGGUGGCGAGUGGCGGACGGGUGAGGAAUACAUCGUAAUCUACUUUUUCGUGGGGGAUAACGUAGGGAAACUUACGCUAAUACCGCAUACGACCUUCGGGUGAAAGAAGGGGAUCUUCGGACCUUGCGCGAUUGAAUGAGCCGAUGUCGGAUUAGCUAGUUGGCGGGGUAAAGGCCCACCAAGGCGACGAUCCGUAGCUGGUCUGAGAGGAUGAUCAGCCACACUGGAACUGAGACACGGUCCAGACUCCUACGGGAGGCAGCAGUGGGGAAUAUUGGACAAUGGGCGCAAGCCUGAUCCAGCCAUACCGCGUGGGUGAAGAAGGCCUUCGGGUUGUAAAGCCCUUUUGUUGGGAAAGAAAAGCAGCAGGUUAAUACCCCGCUGUUCUGACGUUACCCAAAGAAUAAGCACCGGCUAACUUCGUG
rnacentral:rRNA from 1 species